ensembl:lncRNA
CAGCCCCCGAGCUGGACCCCUCCGGCUGCCUCGUGAGCUCUCCCGGCCCUGCGCCGUCCUCCCCCGCCAGGGCCGUUUGCUCCCUCCAGAGCUGGCAAGCAUAAUUGCUGCUUUCCACAGUGACAUAAAAAUCUAAGAGGCACAAUCAAUACAGCGCACACACACAUCAUCGUCCUUCAUUGCAAACGAUAAAAGCGUAAACAGCAGGGGUGGCGGCAACUCCCGAGGCUGCGGUGGGGGCAGGGCGGACUGCCACAGUCUCCUCGCCCGUCCCUCCCCUCUGGGGCACCGUCUCACUCUGGGGAGCUGCCGCUCAUUAAAGCACAGUUGGGAAACGGUUUUCUCUCUCUUUUCCUUCCAGAUGCAGCAACCCCAGUCUCUGUAACGCGACUUCAGAAAUCCAAUUUGUCUUUCCUUUCACUAUUUUAAAUGUUUUUUCUUGCUUCCCUGCAUCUCCCCAAAUACAGUGCUAGAAGCGCCUUUCUGGAGACAGAAGGACUUUCCUGGGUCUUGUUUGUCACAAGCCCACAAACUGACCUCAAAGGGGAGACCAGCCCUUGAUGGCCAGCUUCUUUGCUCCAUCCAGUCUGCCACCCACAGCUUGCCUUAGAAUAUGCGCAGAAACCAUCACACCCCAGCUCUCAGACUUGCAGCGACUUCUUCAAACUAGUUACUUAAUGAACGUCAUCCGGUUCCGAUUCAGCCUUGUCAUAUUCUCAUUUGCAAAAGCCAAUCUGCUUUACGAUUCCAACCUCUGGCUAGAAACCGCUCCCAAUUUCAUGUCAUCCAUAAACUUGAUGAACGAUUAGCUUGCUCCUCUGCAGUCAUUCAUUUAUUUAUUCAACUAACAUGUAGUGAGUGCCUACUGGAUGCUGGGUGCUAGACACAGAGUUAAAGGAGACGCAGGUCUUAUCCUUGAGAAACUCCUAUGCUGGCGGUGGAGCAGACGUGGAAAUGGUUUGUUGCAGGUGUCCUAUGCUCAACCAGGGCAGAGGAUGAGAGCGGCCUCCUCAGGGGAGGGGCGGUGUAAGCUGGCCUUAAGACGCUGGAGGGGGAGACCUUCCCAGCUGGGGAAGAAAUGGUGUCCUAGUUCGAGAGACCAGAAUGUGCACAAGCAAGGAGUUCUGGGUGGUGACGGGAGAAGAAAUGUACUGAUAUCUAUAAACGUGAGGGGCAAUGAGCCUCAGGACAGGAUCCAGCUGGGACCGGGAGGCCUGUCUCUUGGCUCUUCCCGUUUCUGCUUCAUCCUGAGGCUCCAUCUGGUAGCAAAACGGCUUUGAGCAGCCUCAGGGUUACAUCCUCCCAGGUUCAAUUCAUGGAAAAGAAAGUCUGCUCUCCUCUGACAGACUCGGCACUGGGUCUCCCUGGAUCACAUGGUCUCCCCGACCAAUCAGAAUGGCUGGGGGAAUACAGGCACUUUGGCCAGGUCUGAGGCACGUGGUGUCCCUGGACCUGGGGUGGAGUCAGCUGCCUUUGAAGCCCUGGGCUGAAGGGAGGGUGGGGAUUCCCAGGGGAAAGUUGGGUGGUGUUGGUGCUGAGAAGGGUGCACAGGUGCAGGGCUGCCGGAACACAGAUGGCCACUAUGUGGCCACUGGCGCGCUGUGGCACUCUGUCUCCCCAGGUGGUGGAAGGGGAGCCCCGGGGGUCCUUUCUGCGUGGUGGGUACAGGGAGUCACUCACAGGCACUCCGAGGGUGAGGUCGGCCGCGUGAGGCCUCCUCGCUUCCACGCUCUUCUAACUGUCUGCAGGUGGGUUUGGGUGGACUUCCUGCUUUCCCAAAUGCUGGAUUUAAGCCAGUCAGCAUGUAAUCUCCAGCCAGUCCUCUGUCCUCAGCCUCCCCACUCGUCAAGCUCUUUUCCUGCCCUUCCGCCAAACUGAACCUCCAGCCAUUUCGGGAACUCCACGGUGGCCACCGGCACCUUCUAACCAGAACUCGGCACGGGAGGCUCAGCUGGAGCCAGGGCUUGCCUGCUCUAAUGGGCCUCUCAUUGGCACAUCCUGAGCACUGCAGCCUUCCAUCAGGACUUAAGACGGAGUGGUGGGCUCCUCGGUAGAUAGGUAGGGUCCCCGAGGAUAGGUUCCUUGGGGACAGACAGAUCUAGGUUCUAGUCUGUAGGGACCAGGAUUAAGUUCAGCUGUGGGUGACAGACACCACCCCGAGGAGAAAAACAGUGCCCCAAAGACAGAAGUUUAUUUCUCUCUCAAACAAUCAAGAACCUAGAAGGUGGAAGAGAAGUUUCUCAGAGUCAAUGUCAAUCAUUCUUUCUUGCUGCUCAGCUCUCUUGUUUAUUUUUAUUUCUUUUUUAAAGAUCAGCACCUGAGCUAACAACUGUUGCCAAUCUUCUUUUUUUCUUCUUCUUCUUCUUCUCCCCGAAGCCCCCAGUACAUAGUCGUAUACCCUAGUUGUGAGUGCCUCUGGUUGAGCUCUGUGGGACGCCGCCUCAGCGUGGCCUGAUGAGUGGUGUCAUGUCCGUGCCCAGGAUCCGAACCAGCGAAACCCUGGGCCGCCGAAGCAGAGCGCACGAACUUAACCACUCGGCCACGGGCCAGCCCCAGCUCUCUUCUUCAAGUGGCUUCCUCUUCAUGGUCCAUGGUGGCUGUUUGGUUCCAGCCCCUAGGAGAAGAAGGGGACAAAGAAGCGCAUGUUCUCCCUUUCAGGACACUCCCAGAACUGCACGCUACACUUGUGCUUACAGCUCACAGUCAGAAUUGAGUCACGUGGCUAAAAUGGCCCCCAGGGAGGCUGGGAAGAGAGUCUCGAUUCCAGGCAGCCAUGGGCCUUAUUAAAGGUGAGAGGAGGGGAGAAUGGAUAUUGGGGGACAACCAGCAGUCUAUGCUCAGACUCCCCAAAUGCAUUCACAUCCAUGAUCUCACCAACAGCUCUGGGAGAGGGACCUUGUAUUUCCCAUGUUACAGUGGAUCGCCCACGUUCCAGCAGCCGCGUUCACCGUGUGACAGGUUGGGAAGCACUGUCACACCAGCUUCAACACCCCUGUGAGCCCGAGCUGGGGGAGGAGAGUCACCCCACAGAUCCGACGAGGAAAGCCAGACUCAGAGAAGGCGAGGCCUUGCCCAUGUACCAGCAGCCGCUCCUGGAGUCCAGGGUGGCCAGACUGGAGGGUCUUGUCUGGUCCUGUGAGUCCAGGCCUCCAUCGAUACUGGAAAAUGAGCUCGGACUUCGGAGAGGCGUGCAGUCUACUAUCUACUGCUUGCUGAAUGGCCUCACCCCUGCAAUCCUUAGUUUCCUCGUCUGAAUAACAGAGGUAUGCGCUUAACAGAAUGCCUGGCCCACAGUAACCGGUUGUUCAACACAUUGGAGACACUACAUUUGUUUGUGUUUAGAGUUGCUGGGCUGACCAUGGUUAAGAGCUUGAAGUCUGGAUUCGGAUUCCCUGGGUUAAAGUCCUGGAACUACUUCUUAUUAGCACAGGAAGGCGUUCCCAUGGCAACCUCCUGGCGACACAAAACAGCCAUUCCUCCCAGAAUGGGCAGCCUUCUUCCAGUCUCCUGGAGAAGCCACAGCAGUGGAGCCCCGCAGAGCCCUUAGCACUCUGGACAGAAGACCACAGACCGCGGGCAGCCGCCUCUCUAACUGGCCCGUCCCAGGGCUUCGCUCUGGAGGAUGCGGCUGGAUGGGAGUUUAUUCACUUUAAUGUAUAUUUAUCGAGGGCCUGUGAUAACACACAAGUGCUGGCUGGGGACCCAGCAAUGGAGAAGACAGAUAGAGCUUGCCCUCAGGGCCUAAAAUUCUAGUUGGCUUCUAUUCAAGAAAAGGGAAAAGGAACAAAACCAUUUCAGCCAGUGCCAAGCUCUGAGAAGGGAGUGAAACAGGGCCACACAGAGAGGGAGACUGAGGAGGGGCCAGGAGGCCCUUGUGGAGAUGCCGUCUGCGGUGAGCCCCAAAUGCACAGAGGAACCCAGGCACCCAAGACCCUGGGGGGUGUGCGUCCAGGCAGAGGGGGCAGUGAGUGCAAAGGUCCUGAGGCAGGAAGGAGCUUGAGUGUUUGAAGAACAGGCAGAGGCUGGAAGGGCUGCAGUGUGGCACCAGUGAGGGUCUGUGAGCUGAGCUCAGGGGUUGGGACUUUAUUUUAACUGUGAUGGGCAGCCAUUUGGGGGGUUUUAAGCAGGGUAGAGGCAUGGUCUGAUGCAAGUUUUUAAGCUGUUUUUUGGAUUGCUUUGGGGCAAGUUGGGCUCUU